rnacentral:rRNA from 1 species
UAGAUACCCUGGUAGUCCACGCCCUAAACGAUGUCAACUAGUUGUCGGGUCUUCAUUGACUUGGUAACGUAGCUAACGCGUGAAGUUGACCGCCUGGGGAGCACGGUCGCAAGAUUAAAACUCAAAGGAAUUGACGGGGACCCGCACAAGCGGUGGAUGAUGUGGAUUAAUUCGAUGCAACGCGAAAAAACCUUACCUACCUUGACAUGUAUGGAAUCCUGCUGAGAGGUGGGAGUGCCCGAAAGGGAGC